GACGAACGCUGGCGGCGUGCUUAACACAUGCAAGUCGAACGGUAAGGCCCUUCGGGGUACACGAGUGGCGAACGGGUGAGUAACACGUGGGUGAUCUGCCCUGCACUUCGGGAUAAGCCUGGGAAACUGGGUCUAAUACCGGAUAGGACCACUGCCUGCAUGGGUGGUGGUGGAAAGCUUUUGCGGUGUGGGAUGGGCCCGCGGCCUAUCAGGUUGUUGGUGGGGUGAUGGCCUACCAAGGCGACGACGGGUAGCCGGCCUGAGAGGGUGACCGGCCACACUGGGACUGAGAUACGGCCCAGACUCCUACGGGAGGCAGCAGUGGGGAAUAUUGCACAAUGGGCGCAGGCCUGAUGCAGCGACGCCGCGUGAGGGAUGACGGCCUUCGGGUUGUAAACCUCUUUCAGCACCGACGAAGCGCAAGUGACGGUAGGUGCAGAAGAAGGACCGGCCAACUACGUGCCAGCAGCCGCGGUAA
rnacentral:rRNA from 1 species